rnacentral:rRNA from 1 species
UUCCUACGGGGCGCAGCAGUGAGGAAUAUUGGUCAAUGGCCGCAGGGCUGAACCAGCCAAGCCGCGUGAGGGAUGACGGUCCUAUGGAUUGUAAACCUCUUUUGUCAGGGAGCAAAGGGCGCCACGUGUGGCGUUUUGCGAGUACCUGAAGAAAAAGCAUCGGCUAACUCCGUGCCAGCAGCCGCGGUAAUACGGAGGAUGCGAGCGUUAUCCGGAUUUAUUGGGUUUAAAGGGUGCGCAGGCGGAGGUGCAAGUCAGCGGUCAAAUUGCGGGGCUCAACCCCGUACUGCCGUUGAAACUGCAUC